GAUGAACGCUAGCGGCAGGCCUAAUACAUGUAAGUCGAGGGGCAGCACGGUAGCAAUACUGGUGGCGACCGGCGCACGGGUGCGUAACACGUAUGCAACCUGCCUUCAACUGGGAGAUAGCCCGGGGAAACUCGGAUUAAUACCCCAUAACACAGUGAAACAGCAUUGUUUAUUGUUAAAGCUCCGGCGGUUGAAGAUGGGCAUGCGUUCGAUUAGCUAGUUGGUGUAGGUAAUGGCUCACCAAGGCUACGAUCGAUAGGGGGUCUGAGAGGAUGAUCCCCCCACACUGGUACUGAGAUACGGACCAGACUCCUACGGGAGGCAGCAGUAGGGAAUAUUGGUCAAUGGACGCAAGUCUGAACCAGCCAUGCCGCGUGCAGGAAGACGGCCCCUCUGGGUUGUAAACUGCUUUUGAUAGGGAACAAAUGCCACUUGCGAGUGGAGCUGAGUGUACCUAUAGAAUAAGCACCGGCUAACUCCGU
rnacentral:rRNA from 1 species